rnacentral:rRNA from 1 species
UACAGAGGGGGCAAGCGUUAUUCGGAAUUAUUGGGCGUAAAGGGCGCGUAGGCGGCUUUUCAAGUGACGGGUGAAAUCCCUCGGCUUAACCGAGGAACUGCCUGUCAGACUGGAAGGCUUGAGACCGGGAGAGGUGAGUGGAAUUCCCAGUGUAGCGGUGAAAUGCGUAGAUAUUGGGAGGAACACCGGUGGCGAAGGCGGCAUCCUGGACCGGUAUUGACGCUGAGGCGCGAAAGCCAGGGGAGCAAACGGG